UUAGCCAUCUCCUGCAGGGUGAGCCACUGCAGAGCUCAAAUUGCAAACAGGCUAAAACAGUUUCAAACUGAAGGAUCAGGCAGCUGAAGGGAUUAGAGUCAUGGAGAUGGUCUCUGGGAGAGAGGACAUGAUUCCAGAGUUUGAAUGAAGACAGAGCCACACAUUCAACUGGUGUGGACACCUACAUCUUCCUGAUGGCCAAUCCAUCUAUCAUCAGCAUAAUUAACUUUCAAGAAGGUGCCUGCAAAUGUUAGGAAGAGGAGCUGGCAUGUUGAAACCAAAUCAGAUCUCACUUGGAAUACUGUGUCCAGUUCUGGCCAUCACACUUCAAGAAGGGCAUUGACAAACUGGAAUAUGUCCCGAGGAAGAUGACCAAAAUUGUGAAAUAUCUGGAAACCAUGCCCUAAGAGGAGCAACCUAGAGAUCUGGGCAACACAGAGGGACACACUGCCCUGUCAGCUUCAAUCCAUCAGGUGCUGCUGGGUUCCUUGGGAGCCAUCUUUUAAUGUCAUAAAUAAAUGCAUUGCUUAUAUUCAUC